CACACUCUUGGCGGGCACCUCCACCCCAAGUCUGGAUGAGAGGAAGCAAUAGGAGUGACUUUCUGUAUGAGCUGUACACUUGGGGCAGGAAAAGUGAAGAAAGGCAAGCAGAACGGUACAGAACUAGUGUUGUGGGAAGAGUUUACGACACAGGCCCAAUGGAAAAGGACUGGGAGAGCUGGAACUGUAGCUCAGUGGUAAAG